UUAGGCUGAUGGAGGUUGCCCUUUCUAGAGAAAGCUAAUAAAGAAAUCUCUCUCUUUGCUACAUCUGAGUCUCCAGAAUUUAUUGGUAAGGGUCUUCACGUCCCACACAACUUCAACAGCUCCCCAAACACCGAACUAGCUUUGGCAAUGCAUGUGUUAACCUAAUCAUCUACGUGUACAUCCCUGGAAAGUAUAUUGCCAUGGCAUCUGACAACAUUACUGAAAACAUCAUACUAAAAAGCAUGGGAGCGAGCACAAAAGAAGAACAUGCCAGCUAAGACUAAGAGACCAUCACAGUCCAGUGGAUCAAUACAUCAAACAGGCCCAGCAGUGAUGCUGCAGCCAAUAAAGAACAGGCCAAGAAGCAGCCAUAACAUUACCUGGCCCCUCCCUACAUAUUCCUCAUAUAAAUUACCUGUUUGCUGGAAAGACUUCAUAAACUGAAGCAAGUAGAACCAGGAGAACAUUAUACAUAGUAACAGCAUCAUUGUGCGAUGACCAACUU